rnacentral:rRNA from 1 species
CCCUUAUAUGUUCUGGGCCGCACGCGCGCUACACUGAUGCAUUCAACGAGUUUCUUCCUGGUCCGAGAGGAAUGGGUAACCUUUUGAAAGUGCAUCGUGAUAGGGAUAGACUAUUGCAAUUAUUGGUCUUCAACGAGGAAUUCCUAGUAGACGUAGUUCAUCAGACUGCAUCGAUUACGUCCCUGCCCUUUGUACACACCGCCCGUCGCUCCUACCGAUUGAGUGCUCCGGUGAACAAUUUGGACUGCUUUGAUUCGAUUAGAAUUUGAAGCGGAAAGUUUAGUGAACCUUAUCACUUAGAGGAAGGAGAAGUCGUAACA